rnacentral:rRNA from 1 species
GUGCCAGCCGCCGCGGUAAUACCGGCAGCUCGAGUGAUGUCCCAUAUUAUUGGGCCUAAAGCGUCCGUAGCUGGCUACGCAAGUCCAUCGGGAAAUCCACCCGCCCAACGGGUGGGCGACCGGUGGAAACUGCGUGGCUUGGAACCGGAAGGCUCAGAGGGUACGUCGAGGGUAGGAGUGAAAUCCUGUAAUCCUCGACGGACCACCGAUGGCGAAAGCACUCUGAGAAGACGGCUUCGACAGUGAGGGACGAAAGCUAGGGUCUCAAACCGGAUUAGAUACCCCGGUAGUCC